rnacentral:rRNA from 1 species
GACGAACGCUGGCGGCGUGCUUAACACAUGCAAGUCGAGCGGUAAGGCCCUUUCGGGGGUACACGAGCGGCGAACGGGUGAGUAACACGUGGGUGACCUGCCCUCAGCUCUGGGAUAAGCCUGGGAAACUGGGUCUAAUACUGGAUAUGACUCCACGGUGCAUGUCGUGGGGUGGAAAGCCUUGUGCGGCUGAGGAUGGGCCCGCGGCCUAUCAGCUUGUUGGUGGGGUGANGGCCUACCAAGGCGACGACGGGUANCCGGCCUGAGAGGGCGACCGGCACACUGGGGACUGAGACACGGCCCAGACUCCUACGGGGGCAGCAGUGGGGAAGUCUUGCGCAAUGGGCGAAGCCUGACGCAGCGACGCCGCGUGA